rnacentral:lncRNA from 1 species
UGAGGCAGGGAGGGGGUGCUGUGGCAGGGAGGGGGUGCUGCUGUAGAGGGGUGCUGUAGCAGGGGUUUGCUUCUGCAGGGAAGUGCUGCUGCAGAGGGCUGUUGCUAUGCUCUAAGCAUGUCAAAGGACCAGCAAAGAUGCCAAUGUGUAUGGAUGAGGCUGAGUAGUAGCAAAUGGGGUCAGAGAGGUACUAGGGCAGGAUGGUGCAGGCCUUUAGGCCAUGCAAAUGUGAAUUCUAUUGUGGAUGAGGCACAAGGCAGAAUGGCAUAGUGUGCACUACAGAGCUAAUCUGUGGAGGUCUUAUUCUCACUCUUACACAUGGGAGCUAUAAGACCUCAGCAAAGUCGCUGCCCUCUGACAGGUGGAUGUAUAAGAGCUGUACGAUGUAGAUCAUGCCACAGCUGGCCUCACAGCAGUAUUGUGAAGACUGGAAAUCGGGCUAGGGUGAAUGGAAGUGUAAAAUUCCACAGAGGAAUGGAAGAAGACUUCAUUUUGCACAGGUCAAUCCACAUCUGAAGCGUCUUUAUCUGGAGAAUCAGAAGUCCAGAAAGUUGAAAAGACUUGCCCAAAGCUACAGUGGAACCGAGGCUUGAACCAAGAUCUCCUGACUCCCAAGCCAGGAUAUUUCUGCUCUGCCAGGGGGCCAUUCCAUCUGAAAAGCUAAAAGCUGAGAGAGGAUAUUUCUACAUUCUAGAAAAUCACCAAGGAUAUGAAGUGAGUAAAUUUAGACUCUUCUAAAAUGCAGCAGUUUAAAAAUAACAGUACUAGGAACGAUUGUGGACAUUUGAGAGAGAUGCAUUUGUGAGGGAGAAAUAUGGUGCACACAUGGUAACCACCCCUAAGAAGCUGUACAGGCUGAGAACAGACAUUUGAUUGAAGUGUUAGGUUUUCCUUUUAUUUAUUUAUUUAACAAACUAUAUGCCAAGCUCUGUGUUAGGCUGUUGUUACAGCCUGAAUUGUGUCCCUCAAACAUUCCUAUGUUGAAACCCUAACGCCCACCUUGUCUGACUAUAACUGUAUCUGAAGACAGGGCCUUUAAAGGGAUGGUUAGGUUAAAAUGUGGCCAUCAGGGUGGGCCUAAUCCAGUUUGCCUGGUGUCCUUAAAAGAAGAGAUAAGGGCACACAAAGGCAUGUCAAGGGUGCACACAGGAAGGACCAUAUGAACACGGUGAGAAGAUAGCCAUCUGAAACUCAAGGAGACAGGCCUCAGAAGAAACUAACCCAGGCUGGGUGUGGUGCCUCACAUCUGUAAUCUCAGUACUUUGGGAGGUCAAGGCAGGUGGCUCACAAUUAGCCAGGCAUGGUGGCACAUGCCUGUAGUCCCAGCUACUCUGGAGGCUGAGGCAGGAGAAUCGCUUGAACCCGGGAGGCAGAGGUUGCAGUGAGCAGAGAUUGUGCCAUUGCACUCCAGCCUGGGAGACAGAGUGAGACUCUGUCUCAAAAAAAAGAAGGUAGUAAUCCUUUUGACAUUUUGAUCUUGGAAUUCUAUGCUCCAGAACUGUGAGAAAUAAAUUUCUGUUGGUUUAUUUUUCUUUUUAUUUUGUGCGUAAGUUUCUGUUGUUUAAGCCGCACCAUCUGCUGUAUUUCAGUAAGACAGCCCUUGCAAACGAACACAGUGCCUUAUACCUGUAAGCUCAUUAAGCCCUGUAAUAGCCUUUGAUAUAGGAACUAUGAUCUCCAUAUUACAAAUGAAGAACCUGAGGCCUAGAGAGGUUAAAAAAAUUCAUCACUGGCAAUCACAAGUGGCAGAGUUGAGAUAAUUGUAAGUGACAGAAACCUAAGGGAUUAUUCAAGGAUGUCUGGGUCCUAUCUCCCACCUCAGCAAGCGGACUUCAGGACAAACAAUCUCACACACCUCUUUGCUUAGUGUUUUUGGAACAGGUAGCUAAAGUCAUACACUAGUGUGACUAUGUGUAGGCUUAGAAAAUGAUUGAGGAAGGCACCCUUGAAUAGCAUAUAACAUAAAGGUCAGAGCACUGGACUAGGCAUCAGAACAUCUGGGGUCAAAUCUGUUUCCUGGGGCUCUUCUAAUCUCCUCAUUUAUUCUUUUCUUUUCUUAUUUUUUUUUGAGAUGGAGUCUCACUCUGUCACCCAGGCUAGACUGCAGCUCACUACAUCCUCCACCUCUCUGGUUCAAGUGAUUCUCCUGCCUUAGCCUCAUGGGUAGCUGGGAUUGCAGGCUCCCGCCACCACACCCAGCUAAUUUUUGUAUUUUUAGUAGAGAUAGGGUUUCACCAUGUUGGCCCGGCUAGUCUUGAACUCCUGACCUCAGGUGAUCCACCUGCCUCAGCCUCCCAAAGUGCUGGGAUUACAGCCAUGAACCACUACUCCUGGCCUCUUCUAAUGUAUUCUUGAGCAACUUAAUCUCUAAAUCUGUCUCGUAACCUGCAUAAAGGGAAUAAGCUGCCUCCUUCGGUGUGGCUUUAAUGACACCAACAUUUCACAGCAUCCAUCGUGCUGCAUCAAAGCUGUCUUUAGCAUCACUGAUACUUAGCAGUUUCCUUGCACAUAAGUGGCCCUCAGACAAUGUUGAAGGAGUGCAUAUGGAAGUUCUUGGCAAACUGUACAAGUGUAAGCCACUUUGAUUAACCCAAGAAAAAGCCACUCUGUUGCAUUCUUUCUUUCAGCCCUGGUCCCUAACGAAUGGAAAGAGACGAGUCAAGAAUCAAAGUUAUAUGAAAGGUCACCACCUUCUAAGGACCCACGUAGCUUCGAGGGAGAUUACAGAGCAAAGGGUCAUGACCGCCUGCUGAGGAAUAGGGUUCAGGCCCUAACCUGACAGUUUCCAUCCUUCAUCUCUCUCCUGUG